UUUUUUUUUUUUUUAAUUUAAGUAUAGUUGAUUUACAAUGUUGUGUUAACUUCUGCUGUACAGCAAAGUGACUCAGAUGUAUGUAUAUAUACAUAUAUAAAUAUAUAUGAAACAUGUUAUAUAAAUAUAUAUAAACAUUUGUGUGUAUAUAUGUCUAUAUAUAUUUCCAUACUCUUGAAAAAUAUGAAAUUGAAAUUCUUAAUAACAUCUUUGGGUUUUUAUUUUGUAAGUGAAGUCUAGUGAGGGUAUGGGACAUGUCUCCUGUCACCUCUGUACCUCCCUGGGAUAGGUGCAGCUGCCAGCUCCCUUCAUUUUCUGGCCUCUCAGCCCUGUCCACUCUCCUCCUCACCCUACCCAGGACCAGGGGGACCUGGGCAACAGGCACAAGGAAGGUCAGGGUCAUGCGUCCUAGGGCGGGGCAUGGCAAUAGCUGUCCUGGAACGUCAGCACCGCAGUGCACCCAGUGGGCAUCUGGGUAGGGAUGAGGCUCUUACUCAUCCCCUGUGCAAGUGCAUCCUAGCAUGGAUGUUGCAGUCUCUUGGAGGCAUCCCUCCAAUGUGGUUUAUAGAAUAGAGGCCAGGGAAGACCUGGCUCAACUUCCCUACCUUUAACCAGAGCAUGGUCUGUUACUCCUACUAAUUGUUGGGGGUGGGGAGAACCAAGCAGCUGAUGGACCUUGAAGUCUCUCUGAACAAGAUAUCCUGCAUUUGCAUCUUGCACCAGGCCCUGCAAAUUAUAGAGCUGGCCCUGAUUCUAAGGUCUUUAUUUCCAGCCCAGAUUUCUUUUCCGUGUUGCAAAUGGUAUAUCUGCCUACAUGCUUGAACAUGGAUUCAUUUGGAUAUUUCUUAUGACAUUAAAGAUUCAGCAGGUUAAAACUGAAUUUAUAACCUCUGUCCCAAAAGUGUUUCCCUAAAUCUGGGAAUAGCACCACUAGUUAUACAAGCCAAUAAUUUGAGAAUCAUUUUGACUCCUUCCUCUCUCUCUUUUCCUUCCUAUCCAAGCAGUUGCUAAAUCCUCUGGCAUCUACUUCUGGAUAUCUCCAAAACAUUCUAUAUUUGUUACCCAUUGUUACAUUGCUGCAUAACUGCAUAGCAUGAUGUUUUACAGAGACUUGAAGUAGGAGAUUAAGACAUGCAACUAUCAGAGGGAAUGGAGUUUUAGACAGAAGGAAAACAAAUACAACAGUUCUAAGAAGAGGCAAAGAUGUCAUGGCUGAUAGAUCAGCCCCAAAUGCAGUGGCCUAGAGCAACAAUAAACAUAUUAUCUCAUAGUUUCUGUGAGUGAGGAAUUAGGAGCAGCAGAGUCAAGGGAUUUGGGCCUGCAUUCUCUCAAAGUUCUAGUCAAGAUGUUAGCCAGGGCUGCGGUCACCUGAAAGCCUGACUAGGGUUCUAGAUCUGCUCCUAAGAGAGCUUCCACUCAAGAUAGUUCCCUUUCAAGUGGUGCUGCUUGUUUACAGUCACCUCAGUUCCUUCCUACGUGGGCCUGUCUGCAGCCUUCUUGGGAGUCUUCAUGACACAACCUUGUCUUCUUAUACUCAAGCAAUUCAAGAGAGUGGGCCACAUGGAAGCCACAAUAUCCUUUAGGACCUAUCCUGGGAAAUCAUAUUAUUAUUUCUGCCAUUGGUUACACAGGUCAGCCAGCUCCACUCACUCAGGGAGGGGCUCAUACAGAGCAGGAAGACCAGAGGCAGGGCUCUUUGGGAGCCAUCUUUGAGGCUGGCUGCCACGGCUGCCACCCAUCUCCACUAUCAUGUUCUGAUGUUUGGAUACAUACCCCCAUCAUUCUUCAUUCUAUUUUUUUUUUUUUAAUGGCUGCCCCUGUGGCAUAUGGAAAUUCCCAGGCCAGCAGCCAAAUUGGAGCUACAGCUGUGGCCUAUGACACAGCCAUGGCAAUACCAGAUCCGAGCCACAGCUGGGAUCUACACCACAGCUUGCAGCAAUGCCAGAUCCUUAACCCACUGAGCCAGGCCAGAGAUAGAACCCACAGAGACAACAUUGGGUCCUUAACCUGCUGAGCCACAAGCGGAACUUCUCAUUCUUCAUUCUUAGUUAGAGAGAACUGACCAUGAGCUGGCCAAUUUCCUGGGUGUUGGGGAUUCGAUAGUAAAAGCAAAAAAACAAAGACAGCAUCCUGCCUUCAUGACCUUCCAUUCCAGAGAAUAAAAUAAGACAAAUGUACUUAUUUAUUUGUCUCUAUCCAGUGUGAUUCACACAUAAGUAAGUACAUUCGUCUUAUUUGCCUAGCCAAGAGCAAGAGAGAGUGAUGGCUGGGGGAAGGGUUUACAUGGAGCAGAUAGGGAAAACCUUCUGAUAAGGUGACAUUUUAGCAGAGAUCUGAAGACAGUGCGGGAAUAAGACAUGUAAAUACCUGUCCAUGAGACCAGAGUUUUAAGAAGAGGUAAAUGCAAGUGCAAAAGCCUCGAGGAAAGCACACUUAGUGUCAUCAAGAAAAGCAGAAAGGCUAUGGUGACUGUAGGUGGGGAGUGGUAGGAAGACAGGUUGGUGGGGGAGGAAUGGCAAAAUCAAUUUUGCCAUCAGAAGAACUUGGGCUUUUGCUCUGAAUGUUGGGAAAGACGUUGGAAAGUUUUGAAUAAAUGGAUGGCAGGAUUUAACUUAUGUUUAAAAGGAUCUUUCUGGCUACCUUAUAGAAAAUAGACUAGACUAUGCAAAAGGAAGUAUAGAAGAAAGGAAGCAAUUAAGAGAUGAGUUCUUUCAUUAAGACAAUGGAUGAUGUUCUUGAACCAGAAUGUUAGCGGUAGGUGCGAAUUACAUAUGUGUUUGGAGGUAGAGCUGAGAAGCGUUUCUGAUAUACUGGAUAUGGGUGUGAGAAAAAAAGAGAGUCAAGAAUAACACCAGGGUUUGGACCUGAGUCACUAGGAAAAUGUAGUUGCCUUUGUUGAAGUGGAAGACCACAGGACAGUAAGGGGUGGAGGCGUUUGGUUCUGGACCCAUAAACUUGAAUUCACUAUUAGACAUCCAUGUAGAGAUGUUCAGCUGUCAUGAGACGAGUCUGGAGGAGAAAUCUGCAUGGGAGAUAUAAACUUCAGACUAGAUAAGACUGUCGGGAAAGUUUAUAUAAAGAGACAAGUCGAAGGACUGAGCUCUAGGACCCUCUACCCCGCUACCUGCAAUGGGAAAAUGAAGAAAAACCAGCCAAGGAGGCAGAUGGAAGGAGUGUCCAGUGAGGAAUGAAAAGGAAAGAAAAGGAGGAGGAUCAGUUAAAUUUUUUUCGAAAAAGGAGAUGCCUUCCUGUGUCAAAUGAAUCCAAUAAAAUGACUUUGUAAAGACUUCAAAUUUUCCUGUGACUGGAAUAGUUUUCUUUGGAUGUGAAGAGAAUUGAUCACUAGGUUUAGCAAUGGGAUGUCAACAGUGACCUCCCAGUAUCAGAGGAGUGGUAGGGGACAAAAGCCUGGAAUGGGUUCUCCAAUAUGUUUUUUUUCCAGUGCCACCAAACAGUUCUCCAGUUCUCAGAGGAUACUCGACUAUGUGUCCUGAUGUGAUUUAUCUGUGAGAUAGCAUCAGAUCACACAAAUUAAGCACGUAGCCCCACAAAAUUGCACUCCCUCUCCCACUUCAGAUGCCAAUUACGGGUCCAGGUUGUCACCUGUGCUUUUGACCAACCAGCUAUGGGCUGGAGGUUCCCACAGUCCCCAACUUGGGUUUGAUUAGUUUGUUAGGGCUGCUCAAAGAACUCAGAGAAACAUUUACGUAGGUUUACCAAUUUAUUAUAAGGGAUUUUAUAAAGGAUACUGAUUAACUGAGAGAUGAACUACAUAAGGUGAGAUCUGAAAAGUCCCAGACACAGGAGUCUUUUGUCCCCAUGAACCCAGGAUGCACCCCUCCCCCCCAGCCUGUGCAUGUGUUCACCAACCCAGAAGCUCAUCAAAUCUUGUUCACAAGAGGUUUUUUUUUUAAUCUUCUUUCAGUUCUUUUUUUAAAUGAUUUUUAUUUUUCCCAUUAUAGUUGAUUUACUACAAGAAGUUUUUAGGGCUGAAAGCUCUAACCCUCUAAUCAUGUGGGUGACACAAGCGGCCCCAUCUCAAGGCUACCUAAGGGCACCCCUGGCAAGUUACAUCAUUAGCAUAAGCUCAAAAGGGGGUCCUCAUGAAGAACAAAAGACACUGCUACC
rnacentral:lncRNA from 1 species